rnacentral:rRNA from 1 species
UUUAGUAAUUGCGAAUGAACAAGGAUAUGCUUAGCUUGACAAAUGGAGCUAUUGGCUUUGAAUUGUAUUGUGGAAAUGUAUUACCAACAGAGGUGCAGGUGCCAGCCUAUUGAAAUAAAGCGUCAAUGAGGGUGAGAAUCCUGUUUGUCAUGUGCAGCCCUUUGUGCACGGUGUAUAUUUGCUGAGUCACACUCCUUGGCAUUGGAAUGCAAAGUGGGUGGUAAGUUUCAUGUAAAGGUAAACAUGCAAUUGAGACUGAUAGCACACAAGUACCAUGAGGGAAAUAUGAAAAGGACUUUGAAAAGAGAAUUAAAUGAGUUUGUAUUUGCUGAACACAAAGUAAACAGACUUGAUUUGCUUGGUGGGAGUGUUGCACUUGCUUGACAAGAGCUUUGGGCUGUGGGUGUAAUGAUUCUUUCUUUGCAUGCCAGUUUCUAUUUGUACAUCUGAUUACCUUUGCACAUGAAUGAUAAGUCUCCUGUGGGGGGUGGAUUGCAUGUGCAUGUAAUGAUUUGUGUUUUGAUAAAUGUGUCUGGUGUAUGUGUGUGUUCCUGUGCUUGGGGAUGCUUCCUUCCUUGGACUUACAAGCCCUGACACACACAUGCUGGCAAAAUGCUUCUGCUUGACCCGUCUUGAAACACGGACCAAGGAGUCUAACAGAUGUGCAAAGUUUGAAGGUGGUAUACCUUUGUGUGCAAUGAAAGUGUCAGCUGGGAUAUGUGCACCAGCACCCAAUUAAUUAGCGGACAGAGGUUUGAGUUGGAGCAUAUCUAUUAGGACCCGAAAGAUGGUGAACUAUGCCUGAACAGAAUGAAUUCAGAGGAAACUCUGAUGGAGGUUCGUAUCGAUACUGACGUGCAAAUCGUUCGUCAUAUUUGGGUAUAGGGGCGAAAGACUAAUCGAACCAUCUAGUAGCUGGUUCCCUCCGAAGUUUCCCUCAGGAUAGCUGGAGUUGCUCAGUUUUAUCAGGUAAAGCGAAUGAUUAGAGGAAUUGGGGACAGGUUUGUCUUUGACCUAUUCUCAAACUUUAAAUGGGUAAUAUGUAGUGGUUGCUGUAUGGAACUUCUAAGAUAAAUGGCAAUAUUGGGUGGGCCAUUUUUGGUAAGCAGAACUGGCGAUGAGGGAUGAACCUAAUGUG